AUGAAAGAACUCCGGAUUAUCCUUAGAGAGCAGCCAACUCCUUCGACUCGUGCUCCGUUGCCACCUCCAGGAGGGCUAGACAGUUCCCUGGAACCACAGGGAGAGCCUGUUAUGAACACAGGCCACCCAAUGGGUGUGAACUCAGAUCCUUUCCUUAUGGCAGCAGGUUCUCUUGGUGGAGACCUGGCUCCAUUUCCAAGGAAUCCAACUUCUUUUCCAAGUUCAUCAGCCUCAUUGGCUUCAAAUGGAGCACAUUUUCCUGCUGGUGCUCAUAACCCAAGCACGGCUUCCUUUCCAAGAGGGAUGAACGCCAUUGGACAGGUGCAGUUUCUUUCCCAAGGCCAGGUGGCUUUGGGGGAUGGGGACUAGGACCAGGACCUGGUUUAAACCCUAGAACAGGGGCUCUUCCGGGCCCAGGGCCUAUGUCUAACCCCAGAUUAGGGGGGCUUCCUGGCCCUGGCCCUAUGGCCAACCCAAGGGCAGGUGGGCUCCUUGGAGCAAGUCCUAACCCCAAAAGUGGUGGCCCCAUGGGCCCUGGAUGUGUACCCAACCUGAGGGCAGGUGUUUUAUCCUCUGGUACUGGCCCUCCUAAUCCUAGGCCAGUGGGCCUGGGCCCUGGACCAAAUCCUAAUCUGAGAUCGAGCUUUUUAGGUACAAACCCAGCUCCUAGGUCGGGUAUGUUUCCAGGCCCAGGCCUGGGGCCCAACCCGAGAGCUGGUGGCCUAGGCCCAGGCCUUGGACCCAACCCGAGAGCUGGUGGCCUAGGCCCAGACCCAAAUCUGAACACCAGAGCAGGUGGCCUCUUGGGUACAGGUUCUGGUCUUGGACCUCAAGGCUUAGAUCUUGCCCCUAUCCUAAGGGCAGCAGGUCUUUUAGGAGCAAAUUCAGCUGCUUUCUCGAAGGCUUCUGGAAAUGGGCACAAACCCACCUAACGUGACAAGAGUACCUGGCCCCGUAGGCCCAGGCACAGGUCCUAGCUCUCAAGGAAUUGGCCUCCCAGGGCCAAAUCCCUCUGCCAUGUCAAGGGCUCCUAUACCAUGGGCUCUAAUUCAGCUCAUUUCUCAGGGCCAGGUGGCCCAAUGGGGGUAAAUGCCGGAGCCUUUCCACGCUUGGUGGACAAGAUCAGGAGAACUGAACCCAACUGCCUUUUCUCAGUCUUCCAGCACAUUGGCUUCAAAUCCAGGUAUCUUUCAGAGGUCUGCUGGUCCCCAGGGCUCAAAUCCGGCAUUUUUCCCAAGAGCCUCUGGGCCCUUAGGCCCCCAACCAAGCUAACUUUCCAAGGGCCUCUGGCCUGCAGGGUCUAGGUCCAGCUGCCUUCCUGAAGUCUGCGGGUCCACUUGGCCUGGGUCAAGUUGCUUUCCCAAGGUCAGCUGCUGGGCACCUGGGCUCUUCUCCAGCAGGCCCUGUGGAUAUCAACCCAGCUCCUUUUGCAAGGCCGACAGGGACCCUGGAUCUUAACCCAGCUUCCUUUCCAAGGAUGAUGAAUGCCCCUGUAGCCAAGAGUUUGGUCCCAUUUCCUAGGGCAGGCAGCCUCCCUGGUUCAAAUCCAGCUGCUUUCCCCAGACCAGUGUUUCCAAUGGCUACAAUGUACCCAAAUGGAAUGUUACUCCCUUAA